GGCCUGCUAGCUCAGUCGGUUAGAGCGUCGUGCUAAUAACGCGAAGGUCGUAGGUUCGAUCCCUGAGCAGGCCA
rnacentral:tRNA from 2 species